rnacentral:rRNA from 1 species
GACAGAGGGGGCAAGCGUUGCUCGGAAUUACUGGGCGUAAAGGGCGCGUAGGCGGGAUGGCAAGUCGGUCGUGAAAUCCCUCGGCUCAACCGAGGAACGUCGAUCGAUACUGCUGUUCUUGAGGAUUGCAGAGGAGACUGGAAUUCCCGGUGUAGCGGUGAAAUGUGUAGAGAUCGGGAGGAACACCGGUGGCGAAGGCGGGUCUCUGGGCAAUUCCUGACGCUGAGGCGCGAAAGCGUGGGGAGCAAACAGG